AGCGUAGGUGGCCUAACAUGUCAACUGUGAAAACCCGGAGCUCAACUCCGGACUUACAGUUGAAACUGGUAGGCUUGAGGACGGUAGAGGAAGACGGAACUGCCAGUGUAGGGGUAAAAUCCUUAGAUAUUGGCAGGAACGCCGGUGACGAAGGUGGUUUUCUGGGCCGGUUCUGACACUGAUGCUCGAAAGCCAGGGGAGCGAACG
rnacentral:rRNA from 1 species